rnacentral:rRNA from 1 species
CCUACGGGAGGCAGCAGUAGGGAAUAUUGGACAAUGGGUGCGAGCCUGAUCCAGCCAUGCCGCGUGCAGGAAGAAGGCCUUCUGGGUUGUAAACUGCUUUUGCCGGGGGAUAAAAGACCCAUGCGUGGGGAAUUGAAGGUACCCGGUGAAUAAGCCACGGCUAACUACGUGCCAGCAGCCGCGGUAAUACGUAGGUGGCGAGCGUUGUCCGGAUUUAUUGGGUUUAAAGGGUGCGUAGGCGGCCCCGUAAGUCAGUGGUGAAAUACGGCAGCUCAACUGUCGAGGUGCCAUUGAUACUGCGGGGCUUGAGUACAGUCGAGGUAGGCGGAAUUGACGGUGUAGCGGUGAAAUGCUUAGAUAUCGUCAAGAACACCGAUAGCGAAGGCAGCUUGCUAGGCUGUAACUGACGCUGAGGCACGAAAGUGCGGGGAUCAAACAGGAUUAGAUACCCUGGUAGUCCGCACAGUAAACGAUGGUCACUCGGUGUUGGCGGUACACGGCCAGCGCCUUAGCGAAAGCGUUAAGUGACCCACCUGGGGAGUACGCCCGCAAGGGUGAAACUUAAGGAAUUGACGG